CGACGAGUGGCAGGCCGUCUCCGGCGGCGACGUGGAGCGGCGUUCUCCGGUCGUAGUUCCUGCAGUUGGGGUCUACCCCGAAUCUGAGCAGCCUCCGCAGUAGGUCGAUCUUGCCUUCGGCGACCACCCUGCACAGGACCCUGAUGAUAUCUUCAUAUCCUCUUGAUGCAGCAACAUGCUGCAAGGCAAAGAUAAAGGAACAGGUUGAAGAGUCGGUCAUCUGAUUACACAGUUUACUUAGCAUAGCAGGCCAGCUCUUUCUCCAACUUCACUUUUGCCAUCAAGUUCUAAUCUAGUUAUCUUCCAUAUUUUCAUAAUUAGAAAAAGGUUCAUGGUGAAUUUGAGUAGAAUCUUGAUAGAUAGUUUUCACCACUAAGUUUUAGUAGAUAAUUUGUUGAUACUUGCAAUAGUUUGGCUGAUGAUUAAUCUGCAAGCGUUCACGUACCAAUGCAGUCCUCCCGUCGUAAUCCGGUUUACUCGGAUCUGCUCCUGCUCUGAUCAAGCCUUUUAACCGAAACAAGUCUCCAUGGUAGGCAGCAUUGUUGACUCCAAUGACCUGGUCUGCCUCUUGCUUUGCUAUCAGAUCACCGCGACAUCGCCGACUAUGUCGUAGGGAAGCAGUUCUGAGAUGAUCAUUUCCGACUCACCUUCUCCGAUGCCGAUCUCUUCCUGUCAGAGUACACGGAACAUGACAGUUGGCAGGUGAAAAGUCAGUCAUACAGCUCAGCUCUGUUUUCUCUUGAUCUAUGUAGGUUUCUUUCACAAACAGAUCGUGUGCAUAAAUCACGGAGGGUUAUAAAAUUGUUAAACUCGGCGAGGAGUAGUACCAGGCAUCCAUGUGCCACGAUGUAUAUCUGAUCCACCACGGUGCCUUGCUCCAAAAUAACUUCCCCAGGGAGGAAGAAUUCUUCAUGCAAUUUUACCACCUGAAAUUAAUUACCAAUUUAGACAUUGCAUAGAUAUUAUACUUAAAGAAAGCGCAUGGAGAGAAAAACUUGCAUGAAGUUCUUACAAUCUGGUUCAGGAAGUCCUCUGAGCACCCUUUGAACAGGUGCACCUUUGAAACUAUGUCCAUGUACAGUGUCUGGGAGAUGUGCAAAGCAAAAUGCUCAAUCUAAUUAAAAUUGCUCCAUAACAAAAUUUAUUUGUAUUAUUUGCUCCGAGAGAAAAUUAACCUGGACUGUACCUUUGAACGGAUUGCGACCGGUAUGUUGUCGUCGACGAUCCUGUCUCUCUUGUAGCUGCUCUCGUACUGCAGCACCAGGUGCGCCUUCACCUGGGAUCUGAUGUCGCUACCCAGCUUGUUCCUGUUCAUGUACCUUGUGAGCUCCGUCAUCUUGUCCCGGAAGCGCUCAGUCCUGGAGCCCUUGACGAUGAGCGCGGUCAUGUUCCCGAUGAGGAACUGCAACCUUGACGUUAUGGUCAUCUGGUGGUGAGACCGAGGCCGCGUACCGACUGUUGCCAUGGUGACGAUGGCGAGGUAGAGAGAGGUGAUGUAGCGGGUGAGCAGGUCGACAUGUCUGAAGUUG